CCUACGGGUGGCUGCAGUGAGGAAUAUUGGUCAAUGGACGAGAGUCUGAACCAGCCAAGUAGCGUGAAGGAUGACGGCCCUAUGGGUUGUAAACUUCUUUUAUAUGGGAAUAAAAUGUGCCACGUGUGGGAGUUUGUAUGGACCAUAUGAAUAAGGAUCGGGUAACUCCGUGCCAGCAGCCGCGGUAAUACGGAGGAACCGAGCGUUAUCCGGAUUUAUGGGGGUAAAAGGGGGCGCAGGCGGGCUGUUAAGUCAGCGGUAAAAGCCCGGGGCUCAACCCCGGACCGCCGUUGAAACUGGCAGUCUCGAGUUGGAGAGAAGUAUGCGGAAUGCGCGGUGUAGCGGUGAAAUGCAUAGAUAUCGCGCAGAACUCCGAUUGCGAAGGCAGCAUGCCGGCUCCACACUGACGCUGAGGCACGAAAGCGUGGGUAUCGAACAGGAUUAGAUACCCCAGUAGUC
rnacentral:rRNA from 1 species